UACGGGGGGAGCAAGCGUUGUUCGGAUUUACUGGGCGUAAAGGGCGCGUAGGCGGCCACCGCAAGUCGACUGUGAAAUCUCCGGGCUUAACUCGGAAAGGUCAGCCGAUACUGCGGGGCUAGAGUGCAGAAGGGGCAACUGGAAUUCUCGGUGUAGCGGUGAAAUGCGUAGAUAUCGAGAGGAACACCUGAGGCGAAGGCGGGCUACUGGGCCGAUACUGACGCUGAUGCGCGAAAGCCAGGGGAGCGAACGGG
rnacentral:rRNA from 1 species